CACACCGCGUCUCAUUCCCUCCUGCGGACUCGGGGUAGACGCAUGUGUCCCUGUGGCACUGAGGCUGUGACCUGCUCUGGGUGGCACCUGGGACUCUGCUGGCAUGUGGGAAGGCAUUCAUCGUCAGCUGAUGACUAAAGAAUCAUGUGGGUGUGUAAUAAACACGCCAGAAUUGUAGGAACCAGCGGUCGCCAACCUUUCGGACCACCAGUUGCCCCCAGACCACCGGUUGGCAACUGCUGGUAGGAACCAUGUCGAGCAGACGCCCCAGUAUGGGGACUGUUUGCACCGACCCAUGCGCUAUUUCAACCUCCAGGCCAGGGGCUGCGACCCAGGGAGCAGGAAAAUGAUGCGGCAGAAUCCUUCUAGAUGCUUUGGCUGCUCCAAUCCAGAGGGGUUCACUACACCCAGAGACACUGAAAGGGAAAUGUCUGCCAGAGGCUGAUGUGUCACAAGAGGCAGCUAAGCCAGAAUGGCAGACCCCCAACCAGCUCAGAAAUGUCUGCGGCAGCGGGGGCGGUGAUGGGAGCACCAAUGCUGGGUAGAAUCUACCUGCCUCGGGAGAUGGGAACCAGCACUGAGAUCUGUGUCUGCCCUCGGGGAGAUGGGGAGAGAUGGGGGCCAGUGCUGAGAUCUGUGUCUGCCCUCGGGAAGAUGUGGGGAGAUGGAGAGAGA